rnacentral:rRNA from 1 species
UACGGAGGGUGCAAGCGUUGUCCGGAUUUAUUGGGUUUAAAGGGUGCGUAGGCGGCCCGUUAAGUCAGUGGUGAAAUCCCAGGGCUCAACCCUGGAACUGCCAUUGAUACUGACGGGCUUGAGUUCGGUUAAGGCGGGCGGUACUGGUGGUGUAGCGGUGAAAUGCAUAGAUACCACCAAGAACCCCGAUUGCGUAGGCAGCUCGCUGAGCCGAAACUGACGCUGAGGCACGAAAGCGUGGGGAGCGAACAGG